rnacentral:lncRNA from 1 species
UGCAUGAGCCAUAUUUGGAAACACACUGUCAUGCUUCCUGUAUUUAUUUUUGCUUUGCAGAAUAUGGAGAACAUGAGAAAAUGCUUUCAGCAGCAGUUAGCUGAUGCCAUCGCUGUCAUCAAAGGGAUGUACCAGAUCAGUAAACGCAAAGAAGACAUGGAAAUAUACGCCAGGGUUCGUAUAUGCCCCCCUCAUCUGGGAUGAAGCGUAUGUGCUGCGCGGAGGCCUCUCAUUCUCUGCUGUCUGAGUUUGAGAGAGGACGUGCCCGGAAGUGAAGCAGGCCAGCAGACACCAGUGGCCGUGCCUGUGGGCUGCUCCCAGGGCGGGUGCCCUGCCUCUGCGGAUUGCCACCCUUCCGUCCUACGUCCUACUCCCCAUCCUGCUUCCCGCUUGGACAUAGACCUCAGUCCCCCACCUCCACGCUUUUCUGGGUGCUUCCAGAGAACACUGACUUGUUGGUGUGCCUUUCCUACAGUACCAGGCCCUGGGGCGGGGUGAGCCCAGACUGCCAGUCCAUGAUCAGAUCAUGCUUUGGGGGGCUAAAGCUGCAAAUCGGGGAUUCCAGGUCAGGGGAGGGCAAGAAGGGGCACACAGCUGAGGAAUGAAAUGAGAAUAACAAUGCUGACUCUUUUUUUCCGUGCGCCAGAACCUGAAAUCACCCAAGAAGAGAGAACCCUCUUUGUCCCCGUGGCAGUCACAGCGCAGGAGCUCCACAUCUCCAAGGACAACUUCCGGUUCCAUGAGUACUCAGUCUGUCCGAGCAAAGAAGUCUAAACUUGCCCUGAAGAAAAUUCCAAAGCCAGAGCAGGCAGUGGACAGUUCUGAUCUCUCUCACGUUGGCUCCAAGACCAGACUUGAGACCCACACCACUGACAGAGAGAAGCCCGCCAAGGGUGACAACAACACAAAAGACCUUUUGGAUGGAGGAACCAACUUGAGGAAGGAGAAGGUAGGGGUGGUGAUAAAUGGGAACUUUUCUAUUGUAGAGAACUGUAGAGGUUGUC